CACGGGGGGAGCAAGCGUUGUUCGGAAUCACUGGGCGUAAAGGGUGCGUAGGCGGCCCCGUAAGUCAGUGCUGAAAUAUCCCGGCUUAACCGGGAGGGUGGCAUUGAUACUGCAGGGCUUGAGUAAAGUUGAGGUAGGCGGAAUUGACGGUGUAGCGGUGAAAUGCUUAGAUAUCGUCAAGAACACCGAUAGUGUAGACAGCUUACUAAGCUUUAACUGACGCUGAGGCACGAAAGUGUGGGGAUCAAACAGG
rnacentral:rRNA from 1 species